UAUGCGGGUUCGAGCCGGGUUUGAGUGAGCUGACCCACCAACCCACUUAACUUAAUAAAAUUAAUUAUUUUAAUAUUAGGUUACAGAACUGGAAUCCCUAAAUUGAAUUGGAAUUCAAAAUCCCUAAUUGCAAUCCUCUUCUUCGAUACACAUCCACGACAGACGAAUCAAAAUCACUGAGCUCCUUUCCCUUCCCUCUGAAUCACGAUCACGGUAAUGGUGGUGCCUCCAUUUGGUGGUGGUCGUCUGGUCUGAGGCGUGGUGGUCGUUCGUCGUGUGUCUACGGCGUGGUGGUCGUUCGUCGUGUGUCUACGGCGUGGUGGUCGUUCAUCGUGUGUCUACGACGUGGUGGUCGUUCGUCGUCUGCGGCAAAACGGUGUAUUCACACCCCAUAGGUUUGAGCGAUCUGCACCUGUAUUCACACGUCCUCUGCAGAUUCUGAGUUUCCAACCCUAAGACGUUUGUUUGACUGUCGUCUAGUCUGUGCGUGCUCAUUGGUGGUCUGAGUGGUCUACGACGAUGCUAGAGUCGACGUUGGUGGCCAUUUGUUAGUGUUGUGCACUGGUCUGCGACGACGAGGUGCUUUUUUGGUGUUUUCCUCCUCUACAAUCAUCCCCUGCCUGCUGCAAUCAUUGUCUGCUGCAAAUAGCAUGGAAUCUGAAACUAUUAAUCGAAGUGUGAAUGUGAAUGUUAAUGUUGAUGAUAAUAUACAUAAUCAAAUUGCUAAUGACCCACAAGAACCACCUUCUGUAAACAAUGAAGACAGUGAAGUUCAAAAAGAAACUAAGAAAGCUAAGACAACUACCUCUGAAGUUUGGAAAUAUUUUUCUAAAGUUGGAGUAAAAGAUGGUAAAGAGAAGGCCAAAUGUAAUGCAUGUGGGCAAGAAUAUGUUAUUGGUGGUACUAAAAUAGGCACUUCAACACUGUUGCGUCAUUUAAAAAAAUGCAAUGUUAGCCCAAAAUAUAAAGAUGUAGGGGGAAUGAUAAUUGAUAAUAUGGGAAAGUU